GACGAACGCUGGCGGCGUGCCUAAUACAUGCAAGUAGAACGCUGAAGGAGGAGCUUGCUCUUCUGGAUGAGUUGCGAAAGGGUGAGUAACGCGUAGGUAACCUGCCUGGUAGCGGGGGAUAACUAUUGGAAACGAUAGCUAAUACCGCAUAAGAGUAGAUGUUGCAUGACAUUUACUUAAAAGGUGCAAUUGCAUCACUACCAGAUGGACCUGCGUUGUAUUAGCUAGUUGGUGGGGUAACGGCUUACCAAGGCGACGAUACAUAGCCGACCUGAGAGGGUGAUCGGCCACACUGGGACUGAGACACGGCCCAGACUCCUACGGGAGGCAGCAGUAGGGAAUCUUCGGCAAUGGACGGAAGUCUGACCGAGCAACGCCGCGUGAGUGAAGAAGGUUUUCGGAUCGUAAAGCUCUGUUGUAAGAGAAGAACGAGUGUGAGAGUGGAAAGUUCACACUGUGACGGUAUCUUACCAGAAAGGGACGGCUAACUACGUG
rnacentral:rRNA from 1 species